ACGGGAGGCAGCAGUGGGGAAUAUUGCACAAUGGGGGAAACCCUGAUGCAGCGACGCCGCGUGAACGAUGAAGUAUUUCGGUAUGUAAAGUUCUAUCAGCAGGGAAGAUAAUGACGGUACCUGACUAAGAAGCACCGGCUAAAUACGUGCCAGCAGCCGCGGUAAUACGUAUGGUGCAAGCGUUAUCCGGAUUUACUGGGUGUAAAGGGUGCGUAGGUGGCAUGGCAAGUCUGAAGUGAAAUGCGGGGGCUCAACCCCUGAACUGCUUUGGAAACUGUCAAGCUUGAGUACAGGAGAGGAAAGCGGAAUUCCUAGUGUAGCGGUGAAAUGCGUAGAUAUUAGGAGGAACACCAGUGGCGAAGGCGGCUUACUGGACUGUAACUGACGUUGAGGCUCGAAAGCGUGGGGAGCAAACAGGAUUAGAUACCCUGGUA
rnacentral:rRNA from 2 species